AGAGGGGAGGGGAAAGGGGUAGAAAAGAAGGAAAGGAAUAAGAGAAAUUGAGAAAAGAGAAAGAGGUAGAUUAGAAAUUAAACGGGGGGAGAGGGAGGGAGAAAAAAGGAAGGGAAAAGGGAAAGAGGGAAUUAAAAACCGAGAGAGGGAGAGGAGGAAAUGAAGAGGGGGAGAGGGGGAAACAGGGGAAAUUCCGGCGGUAAUGCACCUAAUUUCGGAUGAGGGGAAGGAGGAGGAUGGAGGACAGAAAGAGAGAAGGGAGAAGAUUAAUCAGGCGAGAGGAGAAAAGAACCGAAAGAAGAAAUAGAAGUACGAGAAAAAGAUAGAAAGAGGAGGUAGAAGAAAAAAAGUGAAGAGUAGAUAUGAGAGGUGCGAAGGAGACGAAGACGGAGGGGGAAAGAGAAGUGAAAAAAAAAUGGAAGAGAAGAAAACAGAGGGGAGAGAUGGUGAAGAGAAGGAGAAAGAAAAAAAAGAAAGCCUGGGGGAGGGGGAAAUAAAGAACAAGGAAGAAAAGAAAUGGAGGAAGAGGAGGCGGUAGAAGGAGAUAAAGAGGAGGAAGAUGAUCGGGGGGAAAGAAGAGAUGGAGGAAGAAGAAGAGAUAGAGGAGGUGUAAAUGGAGAGAGAGAAGGAGAAGAAAGAAAGAUGGAUAAUAAAAAAAGGGGAAAGAAGAAGAGGGAGGAAGAGGAAUCAGAGGAGAAAGGGAGGGGGAGAGAAAAUAGAUAAGAAGAAGGGGAAGGGGAAUGGUAGAAGGGAUUAAAGGGAAAAAAAAAGAAAAAGAAAGGAGAGAUGAGAAAAGAAGAAAUGUGAAGGGAAUGGACGAAGGGAUGAAAGGAGAGAGGAAGGAGGAAGAGGAGAAAAUAAAAAAAAGGAAGAGUAAGAGAAGAAGGAAGGAGAGAGAGAUAAAGAUAAUAAGGAGAGGGAGAUGGAAGAGGAAGUAGAGAAGAGAAAACGAAGAAAAACAAACAUAAUAGAAAAGACGAAGAAAGAACAGGCAUAAGACAAGAAAAAAAAACAUGAAAGAGGAAGAAAAGAAAAUUGAGAUGAAAAAUAGGGAGAUAGAUAAAACGUAGAAGAACGUAGAAAUAUACGAGAAAAGAAAGUAAAGGAGGUGGUAGAGAA